CAGUUGACAGCAUGUAUUAUUGGGUUUUGUAUAUCAUGUUUAAUAGCUCGAAUUCGUAAAUUUGCAUGUUCUUUGAAAUCUGAAUUUGGAGCAUUGCUAUUGGUUUAAACAAAUUAUACAUGUUGGAUUUGAAAUUGACUUAGUAGAAAACUAUAGGUUUUACACUGUCAUUUUCUGAAACUACCAGAUUUAGCUUUAGAAACUGUAGUUUGUUUGUAUCGCCGCAGUUUGUAGGCGGUGGAUAUCCAGAAUAAUGUAGAAUGAAUUUACGCUCGUGCUGGGAUGCCGAGUGUAUUUUUACAGUAGUGUUUAGACUAUUCUGAACUGUUGGGUGCCGUUGUGGUUGACGGUGGACCCAGAUUGCUGUUUUUGCAUCAGAUUGUGUCGAGAGCAUGUUUAUUAUGGUUGUUAGACCAGUUAGACCAUUCUGUUUUGACUAUAGCCUGAGCGCCUAAAUGAACUUCGUAGAGAUACUUGUAAAUUCGGCUGAGUCACGCCCACGAAUGCCAUUUCGAAAUGAGGUUUCAGUGCGAUGAGGUCGCAGUUUCUGUUUGGACGGUUCUUGAGCUAGAUUCAGGCAGGAUGGGUCCGGUGGGUUUUUAAUAAAACUUAUGUCCUAAAUUUUUUUCCGGAGCUCUUUGGUCGUUUUUCUUCAGCUCUUACAGUUUUGCUCUUUCUUAAGCACAUUGUCGCUAGAUUUGCUAGCAAUAGAUGAUCAGUGGAUCUGAUGAACUUUUUUUCUUACUAUCCGAGAUCGAAUUUUUUUAUGUCAAAUCUAAAUCUUUUUCCCCGCUCUGAAUCUUAAUUCCUGACUUCGUCCAUGCCGCAAAAUAUGUAAAAUCCAGCAAAAU
rnacentral:lncRNA from 1 species